rnacentral:rRNA from 1 species
GACGAACGCUGGCGGCGUGCCUAAUACAUGCAAGUAGAACGCUGAAGGAGGAGCUUGCUUCUCUGGAUGAGUUGCGAACGGGUGAGUAACGCGUAGGUAACCUGCCUGGUAGCGGGGGAUAACUAUUGGAAACGAUAGCUAAUACCGCAUAAGAGUAGAUGUUGCAUGACAUUUGCUUAAAAGGUGCAAUUGCAUCACUACCAGAUGGACCUGCGUUGUAUUAGCUAGUUGGUGGGGUAACGGCUCACCAAGGCGACGAUACAUAGCCGACCUGAGAGGGUGAUCGGCCACACUGGGACUGAGACACGGCCCAGACUCCUACGGGAGGCAGCAGUAGGGAAUCUUCGGCAAUGGACGGAAGUCUGACCGAGCAACGCCGCGUGAGUGAAGAAGGUUUUCGGAUCGUAAAGCUCUGUUGUAAGAGAAGAACGGGUGUGAGAGUGGAAAGUUCACACUGUGACGGUAUCUUACCAGAAAGGGACGGCUAACUACGUG